rnacentral:lncRNA from 1 species
UUCUCCUUCUUGGAUAAAUCCAUGCUGUGUCUCUCUGGAAUGUUUACAGAGCUAUGCAGACCACCAGGGAAAGGCCUUAGGUUUGGUUUUCGGUUUCUAGAGAACUGGAUUAGAUCCCAAAUCUUGAGUUCUAAGAUCAGCACCCCCUGCUACUUUCUCUAGAAAGCGGCUGCCCCCUGAGUUUCUUCCUUAGUCACCAGAGAUGCCUCUUGCCUAGCUUCCAGGUCACCACAUCUCAGUCAGCCCCAGGUUCCAUCUGCUGCUGUGGUGUGGUGUGAUUAUUAGCAGCACACUGUGACCCCUACAAGUGACCCUGUUUGUGUAACAAAUCACACAUGGACCCCAAGUGGAACUCAGAGUAUUAUGACAGCAAAAAGGCAAAAGGUUUGAAGAACUUUUGUAAAAAUUAAAAGCUUAUUAAAGAUGAGAGGGACUGAAGGUUCUUCUCCAAUGAUGCUCUAGCGCUAUAUUUAAGAAGUAGAGAUUAGGAUACAGGGCUUUUCAGAACCUCUGGGAAGCCCUCAACAUUUUAAACAGGGCAUAUUUGCAAGAUCACUACACAGGCACAUAGAGUGCUUCAUGGAAAUGCAAGGUGAUGGCCUUGGCUGGCUUUGGUAAGACUGUGGGUAAGAUCAUGCCAGAUUUUUUUUUUUAAAGAGUAAAGUAGAUUUAAUGUGGCAAAAACAGACUUUGAAAGUUCAGAAGAGGACACGACUGUCAGUGAUCUGCUUCAGACACCGAAAGAGAUACAACAAACAGGUCUCACUGUGUCUCCCUUGUGAGGAACAGACAGGAACAGGCCACCAAGAAAAGAGAAAGUUGGCUUCCCUAGCAAGGAUUUCUUCCUCUGUGAAUGAUGUUCAUGUUGUCACUGCUGCAGUGUCUCAGCCACCUUGAGCCUGAAUCACAAGCUGGACGGAGCUGGCUGCUUGGACAUCUAGAACCUGCUCUCAGCCUGAAUGCAGCUUCUGUUCUCAAAUCCAAGACAGCGUCAUGCAUAAUCCAAUCAGAAUACCACACAUGACACCUUCAGCUUUUUUCUUCAUUACAAAAAAAAAAAAAACAAAAGCAAGCAAAGUCAAGCAAACAAACAAAAAUUCAGGAAAGUCGUAUCAGGACAUUUUGAGUAUUUAAUUGUGUGCAGAAGAAACAAUCAUCUCCCUAAAAGGAAGGGAAUUCACUAAAACACUUAUUCACUGGGUAGCUAUAAUCCAAGCUACUAAGGAGACUGAGGCAGGAGGAUCUUAAAUUUGAGGCCAGGGUGGGCAAGCUAGAAAAAAACAUUUUCUAAAACCCAAACAGAAGUGUCUCAGGAGGAGUACGGGCUGGGUUCCAGCCUUGUGAUGAUGGGAUUCAGACCGACACCUAUCUGCCUCAAAACCCUUCCCUCGGCUCAUCCUGGUGGAGCCAGGGCUGGGGCAGCUGUGUCACCUGCCUGCCUCAACACCUGACCUCCCAGGGACACAAAAUCCCCUGCUGUAGUCUGUCCUUAACGUGGGUGAAACACCAUGAUUUCUCUUCCUGUGCGCAUACAGACUUCCAAACUUUCAGGAGUACUGCUUCAGGCUGUAAGGUGAUUUUGUUGUCUCCACUCUACUUUCUGAAUUCCACCUCCUUCUGCUCCUCAUUUGAGAAGAAGGAAAGGUUUAUGAAGCAAUUGCCAUGUUCAAGGGAGAACACAAGAUGAGAGCCCUAGAGGGGAGGGGACUGAAGCAGAGCUAGGCUCCAGUAAAGAAUCCCCACCAACCCACAGAGUGAUGUACAAGUUAUUUUCCUUAACUGAGACUCAGUUUCUCCAAAUGUCAGAGGUGUUGAGAAAAAUUCUAAAUUUCUUUCUGGUGUAAAUAAGCUGAUUUACCCUACUCAGACCCCUGGUAAACUCUGUAGAAGAUGUUUAAGAUCGUAUCUUAACCCUUUUCCUGCUCUGGAGUGUUUCAGCAGUGGCCCUAUAAUUUAUGAACGUAUAAGUUUAAUUUAUAAGUUUAUGCCUUUUUAUAACAUUUUCUUUUAGGGGAGCAGAUAUCUCUUUACAAAAUAGUUUAGGAUUCGUAGCCAUAUCUUAAACAAUUGCGCUGUUUUUAGGCAACUCUGAUGACAUUGGGAGAAACGUAUGUUCCUGUUUCCAGUGUAUUCCCUUAUUAUUAAGCAAUCAAUGCUAUCCUAACUUGCAUGAAACAGGCUCGCAUGAAAUGUACCUGCAUCAGAGAAAUGUCCAUCUAUCAAUGUAGCCUCUUGUAAAGAAUUCGAACUGCUAGAUAAAUUGUUUCCAUUAAGCUGAAAAUACUCCUCCGGGUGUGAGCUUCUAAUUCAUGUGUUGCUGUAAACUGAUUCAAAUAAUAACGAGGCUGUUUUUCCUCUGGCCUGAUAGUAAUCUAGUGAAGAACAGGCAAGAUCCCUGAAGAAGAUAUUAUCUAAUGAUUUCUACAAUUGUGCUGAAACCAAAACAGUGCUGUUGUGUGAAAAUGUGGGUUUUAUAAGGCUAUUAUUUUGUUCUGCUGUUUCAUUCCGAUGAUGUUACAUGGGAAGUAUGAUAUUUGACUGAAAUCUGGGUAGAUGGAUGGUAAUCAGAACUGUGGUCUGCUGAGAAAUUAAGAGAGAAACUAAGAGCUGAUAAAAACUGAAAUCAGAAAAUAGCAAAUGCAGCCAUGUUUAAAAGUUUUACAGUUUUCUAUUUUGGAAAAGCAUCGAGCAGCUUGAUGAAAAAUUCUGUUUAUUACCCCAGCAGACAAUAGACAGUGAUGUCUCUUUUCUUCAUGCUAAUGCUCACAGGAGGCUGCCGAGGGUUAAUUUAGGUUAAUCAUUUCACCCGGUACAAGGUAAUCUUACCUGUACAGCUUCACUUUGGAAGUCUCAGGCAAUGUGUCUCUUUAUUACAAUUCUGGUAGGGCAAACUGUAUUCCCAGAAACUCAGUAGGAGUAAGACAACCUGACAUGUAAAUAAAAUGCUCCCUAACACCUUCUGUUUGCCACAUCCAUCCAAUUAAAUCUAGCAUGUAUUUGUUUAAGAUAUACCAAGCAUUCAACUCGUCCCGGG